rnacentral:rRNA from 1 species
GGGCCCGCGUCCCAUCAGCCUGUUGGUGAGGUAACGGCUCACCAAAGCUAAGACGGGUAGCUGGUCUGAGAGGAUGUCCAGCCACACUGGAACUGAGACACGGUCCAGACUCCUACGGGAGGCAGCAGUGGGGAAUAUUGCGCAAUGGGCGAAAGCCUGACGCAGCGACGCCGCGUGAGUGAUGAAGGCCCUCGGGUCGUAAAGCUCUGUCGGACCGGAAACUGACGGUACCGGUUAGAAAGCACCGGCUAACUCCGUGCCAGCAGCCGCGGUAAUACGGAGGGUGCAAGCGUUGUUCGGAAUCAUUGGUCGUAAAGAGCGUGUAGGCGGGAUGGCAUGUCGGAUGUGAAAGCCCUCGGCUUAACCGAGGAAUUGCAUCCGAAACUGUCGUUCUUGAGUACGGGAGAGGGAAGCGGAAUUUCCGGUGUAGAGGUGAAAUUCGUAGAU